UCUACUACGGUUUCUACAACGUGUCUUCCAACAUUAUUUGUCACUUUCCAUUUCUACAAAUGUUUAUGAUACAUCGCGUCAUGAAGCUUUCUCCAAAAAAUCAUCAGUUUUAAACUUUUCAAGAAUGUAGCUCGGCAACGUGAAUGUAGUUGGACUGUUUGUCAAUCACGUAAAGGAAAUGAAAUAAUGUACGUCGAUUUGAUAACUUGAUAGCAAUUUUUGUUAGCGAUUUGUUAGCCGAACGUUAUAUAGCAGAAACGCAUUGCGUUAAAUUUAUUUGCAUCCUUGACAUACAAUUGAAAUUCAAAGAUAAUCAGAGUUAACCUUAGAAUCUGAAAAAUUAGGAUACCAUAGAACCGCUGAAAAGUGUUAUUGGUAUCUUUUAUGGCCUCCGUACGAAAUAUUUAUACAUAUCUCGGUUUAAAGGUGAUUGAUGUCAUUUAUCUUUCAAGCAACUGCUUUUCGAUCGCCACUACUGUGAGUUAGAUGCUUAAUUGUUUCGUAUACAGUGACGCUCUGUAUCAGUAUUAGUCGAAGAAUUUGAGUAAUAUAAAUAUUGAAAAAAAUUAUCUUUUUAAUAGAAAAAUUUUAUAUUUGAAUAAUGUAAAUCCUAGAAUAAUUUAUUUGAGUUUACAUUUAAGACUAUCAUAAAUGUAACUUCGAAUAUUUCUUGUUCAUAUUUGAAAUUCUUUGUCUAACACUUGCAUCAUUUACCAUUUCGACUCUUCAAUUAUCGAAUUACGAAGUUACAAAUGAAAAUGUAAAAAACAAAGUUACAAAUAUUCGAUUAACUUGGUAUAAUUACGUAAUAUGAAAAAUUAAAUGGGAACACAGUCAAUUGUCUUGUAACUGGUCGUGCAUUUCCAAAUCAUUACAUUGAUCCGCUUUUUCUUUCUACACAAUUUCUCUGCACAUUUCAAACACUUGCGUGUUUUAUUUAGACAUUUAUAUUUUUAGCAAACUACACAUUGUUUUAAGAAACACAAAAAAAGUGUGACUCAUUGGCUUAAUGCCCAAAGAAAAUCAGAAUGGGUUUUUUACAAUAUUUUGAUAAAAAGUUAAUGGGUUUAUAAGUUGCGGAUAUUGGUUAACUAGCCCUUUAUAGAUGGCGGAACUUGCGCGUACCUCGUUAAAUAAAAUUUA